rnacentral:rRNA from 1 species
AACGAACGCUGGCGGCGUGCUUAACACAUGCAAGUCGAACGCGUAAAGGGACUUCGGUCCUGAGUAAAGUGGCGCACGGGUGAGUAACGCGUAGAUAACCUGUCUUCAUGUCUGGAAUAAUACGCCGAAAGGGGUACCUAAUACCGGAGUAUUCUUUGCUUUUCAUAAGUUAUGCAAGCAAAGGUGGCCUCUGCAUAGUGCUACUGCAUGAAGAGGGGUCUGCGUACCAUUAGCUAGUAGGUGGGGUAAUGGCCGUACCUAGGCGACGAUGGUUAGCGGGUCUGAGAGGAUGAUCCGCCACACUGGCACUGGAACACGGGCCAGACUCCUACGGGAGGCAGCAGUGAGGAAUAUUGCGCAAUGGGGGAAACCCUGACGCAGCGACGCCGCGUGAGUGAGGAAAGGCCUUCGGGUCGUAAAGCUCUGUCAAGAGGAAAGAAGUGUACAAUGGCUAAUACCUGUUGUAUUUGACGGUACCUCUAAAGGAAGCACCGGCUAACUCCGUGCCAGCAGCAGC